rnacentral:rRNA from 1 species
GAUGAACGCUGGCGGCGUGCUUAACACAUGCAAGUCGAACGGAAAGGCUCCUGCUUGCAGGGGUACUCGAGUGGCGAACGGGUGAGUAACACGUGGGUGAUCUGCCCUGCACUUCGGGAUAAGCCUGGGAAACUGGGUCUAAUACCGGAUAGGACGAUGGUUUGGAUGCCAUUGUGGAAAGUUUUUCGGUGUGGGAUGAGCUCGCGGCCUAUCAGCUUGUUGGUGGGGUAAUGGCCUACCAAGGCGUCGACGGGUAGCCGGCCUGAGAGGGUGUACGGCCACAUUGGGACUGAGAUACGGCCCAGCCUCCUACGGGAGGCAGCAGUGGGGAAUAUUGCACAAUGGGCGCAAGCCUGAUGCAGCGACGCCGCGUGGGGGAUGACGGCCUUCGGGUUGUAAACUCCUUUCGCUAGGGACGAAGCGCAAGUGACGGUACCUGGAGAAGAAGCACCGGCUAACUACGUG